AAAGAGAAUCUUUAUUUCCUCUCCAAUUCAUAUUGUUAAGCUGGUCUAGACCAAGAGGAGUUAAUUGUUUUGGACUCGAUUAUUUGAGGUUGGCGAUAAAACGACAAGCGACAUUCGAAAUGGACGAAUUUAAUAUUCAAGAAGUGGUGAACUGGACGUGUUCAACUGACCGUGACUCCAGGCUAAAUUUACUAAAGAUUUUAAUUAGAUGCACCCCCCACGACGAGUUGAAGAUAGUGCAAAGAUUCGUAGAUA